UACAGAGGUCUCAAGCGUUGUUCGGAAUCACUGGGCGUAAAGGGUGCGUAGGCGGCGCGGUAAGUCGGGUGUGAAAUCUCGGAGCUUAACUCCGAAACUGCAUUCGAUACUGCCGUGCUUGAGGACUGGAGAGGAGACUGGAAUUACGGUGUAGCGGUGAAAUGCGUAGAUAUCGUAAGGAAGACCAGUGGCGAAGGCGGGUCUCUGGACAGUUCCUGACGCUGAGGCACGAAGGUCAGGGGAGCAAACGGG
rnacentral:rRNA from 1 species